GGCCUACCAUGGUGGUAACGGGUAACGGGGUGUUAGGGCACGACACCGGAGAGGGAGCCUGAGAAACGGCUACCACAUCCAAGGAUGGCAGCAGGCGCGCAAAUUACCCAAUCCCGACACGGGGAGGUAGUGACAAUAAAUAACAAUACGGGGUUCUAAAGGAUUUCGUAAUUGGAAUGAGUACAAUUUAAAUCUCUUAACGAUCAACAAUUGGAGGGCAAGUCUGGUGCCAGCAGCCGCGGUAAUUCCAGCUCCAAUAGCGUAUAUUAAAGUUGUUGCAGUUAAAAAGCUCGUAGUUGAAUUUCGGGGUUAGUAGGUUGGUCAUGCCUCUGGUAUGUACUGAUCUCACUGAUUCCUCCCUCUUGACGAACUGUAAUGUCAUUAAUUUGGUGUUGCAGGAAAUCAGGACUGUUACUUUGAAAAAAUUAGAGUGUUUAAAGCAGGCUAAGGCUUGAAUACAUUAGCAUGGAAUAAUGAAAUAGGACGUUUGAUCCUAUUUUGUUGGUUUCUAGGAUUGACGUAAUGAUUAAUAGGGAUAGUUGGGGGCAUUAGUAUUCAAUUGUCAGAGGUGAAAUUCUUGGAUUUAUUGAAGACUAACUACUGCGAAAGCAUUUGCCAAGGAUGUUUUCAUUAGUCAAGAACGAAAGUUAGGGGAUCGAAGACGAUCAGAUACCGUCGUAGUCUUAACCAUAAACUAUGCCGACUAGGGAUCGGAUGAUGUUAAUUAUUUAAUGACUCAUUCGCGCCUUACG
rnacentral:rRNA from 1 species